rnacentral:rRNA from 1 species
AUGGGAGGCCCUUCCCAAUACCAAGGUUAUCCAGACCCACAUACAUUCUGGAGCUACCAACAACAGCAACCCAAUUACUAUCAACCCAGACCACAACCCCAACCCCCACAAUACAACUACCAAUACCAACCUGAGCAAGCACAUCAAGAGUAUUAUCAUCAUCACCCUCCAGAAUAUCAAGCCAUACAGUAUCAACAAGGAGUCCAACAAAGGCCGGUCCUUCCCACUGCAGCAGUUACUGGACAACAUUUUCCCACUACACUAGCUGCUGGGCAACAAUUACAGCAGCAGGGAUAUGGCACUCCAAGACAAGCUCCUGCAUUUGAGUAUGGCAGAGGCCAAGAUAGAGAUGCCCAAUUCUACAGAUCCAUUGCCCGAGCCCCCAAAUUUGACUUCCCCAAGUUUGAUGGGACCAAUCCAAUGGAAUGGAUCAGGACUACCAAGAAGUUCUUCUCCAUGGUCCAUGUGCCUGAAGAAGCUAAAUGUGACUAUGCCCAAAUGCACCUAACAGGGAAAGCAGAUACUUGGCUCAGAAACUCAGGGGUACUCGAGGAAAAUUUGGACUGGGACAAUUUCUGUUCUGCUCUGCUGAAAAGAUUUUCGGAGGACAGCUCAUAUGAGGUUCUAGAGAACUUCCAUUCACUAAAGCAGGGUCAGAGUUCAAUGGUAUCUUACAAGAGAGAAAACCCUGGAGUAGCUGAUAGCUACUAUGUGAAGUGCUUCAUUAAUGGACUCCAACCUGAGAUCAAACACUUCCUAAAACCAUUCAAACCAACCUCACUAUAUACUGCUGUAGAGACAGCUAGAGAUAUGGAGCUAGGCGCACAAGCUCAACAAGCACAGAAGAAAAACUACGCAUCUGGUAGCUAUUCCAAGAACCACUCCGCAUCUCAGCCACCAACCAAACCAAAGUGGAAUGAUAAUAACUCUACCAGAAAAGAAGGAGACACUAAAGGCACUGUCAAAACUGACAGACCUUACAGAGAACCUGGUACUUGCAGGUACUGUGGAGGGAAGUGGGUUUUUGGCCACAAG